GAUGAACGCUGGCGGCGUGCCUAAUACAUGCAAGUCGAGCGAACGGACGAGAAGCUUGCUUCUCUGAUGUUAGCGGCGGACGGGUGAGUAACACGUGGAUAACCUACCUAUAAGACUGGGAUAACUCCGGGAAACCGUAGCUAAUACCGGAUAAUAUUUUGAACCGCAUGGUUCAAAAGUGAAAGACGGUCUUGCUGUCACUUAUAGAUGGAUCCGCGCUGCAUUAGCUAGUUGGUAAGGUAACGGCUUACCAAGGCAACGAUGCAUAGCCGACCUGAGAGGGUGAUCGGCCACACUGGAACUGAGACACGGUCCAGACUCCUACGGGAGGCAGCAGUAGGGAAUCUUCCGCAAUGGGCGAAAGCCUGACGGAGCAACGCCGCGUGAGUGAUGAAGGUCUUCGGAUCGUAAAACUCUGUUAUUAGGGAAGAACAUAUGUGUAAGUAACUGUGCACAUCUUGACGGUACCUAAUCAGAAAGCCACGGCUAACUACGUGCCAGCAGCCGCGGUAAUACGUAGGUGGCAAGCGUUAUCCGGAAUUAUUGGGCGUAAAGCGCGCGUAGGCGGUUUUUUAAGUCUGAUGUGAAAGCCCACGGCUCAACCGUGGAGGGUCAUUGGAAACUGGAAAACUUGAGUGCAGAAGAGGAAAGUGGAAUUCCAUGUGUAGCGGUGAAAUGCGCAGAGAUAUGGAGGAACACCAGUGGCGAAGGCGACUUUCUGGUCUGUAACUGACGCUGAUGUGCGAAAGCGUGGGGAUCAAACAGGAUUAGAUACCCUGGUAGUCCACGCCGUAAACGAUGAGUGCUAAGUGUUAGGGGGUUUCCGCCCCUUAGUGCUGCAGCUAACGCAUUAAGCACUCCGCCUGGGGAGUACGACCGCAAGGUUGAAACUCAAGGGAAUUGACGGGGACCCGCACAAGCGGUGGAGCAUGUGGUUUAAUUCGAAGCAACGCGAAGAACCUUACCAGAUCUUGACAUCCUUUGACAACUCUAGAGAUAGAGCCUUCCCCUUCGGGGGACAAAGUGACAGGUGGUGCAUGGUUGUCGUCAGCUCGUGUCGUGAGAUGUUGGGUUAAGUCCCGCAACGAGCGCAACCCUUAAGCUUAGUUGCCAUCAUUAAGUUGGGCACUCUAAGUUGACUGCCGGUGACAAACCGGAGGAAGGUGGGGAUGACGUCAAAUCAUCAUGCCCCUUAUGAUUUGGGCUACACACGUGCUACAAUGGACAAUACAAAGGGCAGCGAAACCGCGAGGUCAAGCAAAUCCCAUAAAGUUGUUCUCAGUUCGGAUUGUAGUCUGCAACUCGACUACAUGAAGCUGGAAUCGCUAGUAAUCGUAGAUCAGCAUGCUACGGUGAAUACGUUCCCGGGUCU
rnacentral:rRNA from 1 species